rnacentral:rRNA from 1 species
GCACCCGCGGUAAUUCCAGCACCAAUAGCGUAUAUUAAUGCUGCUGCUGUUAAAAAGCUCGUAGUUGGAUCAAGAGUUGGACAGUGCACGGUGGCCCUAUUUGUCAGCUUGGCUCCGGUCAGGUUGGCGGUAGCGGAACAACCCCGUGCGCCAAACUGUCCACUCUAACAGACCGAAACGGUUCCCUGUGAGUAGGUUCCUUAAUUGGGACUGAAAGCGCCUACGCAUCAACCAUAUGCAUACGGGACGUCGGUCAAUGUUACUGUGAACAAACCAGCGUGUCCAAAGCAGGCUACCGCCUGAAUGUUCGAGCAUGGAAUAACAAGGGAUCGAUUCUCUCGGUUCUUUUUGUUGGUUUUUAACCCGAGAAGGAGUAAUUCAGGCCACGGUGUCUGAGUUGGGUUUCCCUGGGCUUCGGCUUAGGCCCCAAUUAGGCCGUGUCCUUACGGGAUCAAUAGGGACUGACGGGGUCGUACCUACUUCCGCGUCAGAGGUGAAAUUCUUAGAUCGCGGGAAGAGGAACUUCUGCGAAAGCAUUCGACAAGAAUGUCUUCAUUAAUCAAGAACGAGAGUGUGGGGAUCGAAGAUGAUCAGAUACCGUCGUAGUCCACUACUGUAAACAAUGCCGUCUCAGGAUUGAGAAGUGAACAGAAUGACUUUCACAGCACUAACCCCUGAAACGAGAAAUCAAAGAUUAUGGGUUCAGGGGGGAGUACAUUCGCAAGGCUGAAACUUAAAGGAAUUGACGGAAUGACACCACAAGGCGUGGAGUAUGCGGCUUAAUUUGACUCAACACGGGGAAUUUUACUAGGUCAGGACAAUGUAAGGAUUGACAGAUUGAGAGCUCUUUCUCGAUCCAUUGUGUGGUGGUGCAUGGCCGCUCCUGGUUGGUGGAGUGAUUUGUCUGGUUGAUUCCGUUAACGAACGAGAUCUCGACCCUUAAAUAGGUGCGCAUGUCGAUUGUAGCUUCAUCUGCGCCAGCUUGCUGGAUUGCAGUGGGGCGAGACUGUGCGAAUACUUCUUAAGGGGACUGCGUGCGUCUCUAGCACGCGGAAGAGCGAGCCAAUAGCAGGUCUGUGAUGCUCCUAAAUGUCCUAGGCUGCACGCGCACUACACUGAUGCAAUAAACGAGUCUGAGUGCCUUCUGGCAACCUACCUGGAAGCGGGUGGGAAAUCUUUUGAACUUGCAUCGUGAUGAG